rnacentral:rRNA from 1 species
AUUGAACGCUGGCGGCAGGCCUAACACAUGCAAGUCGAACGAGUGGCGGACGGGUGAGUAAUGUCUGGGAAACUGCCUGAUGGAGGGGGAUAACUACUGGAAACAGUAGCUAAUACCGCAUACCAUCAGAUGUGCCCCGAUGGGAUUAGCUCGUUGGUGGGGUAACGGCUAACAAAGGCGACGAUCCCGAGCUGGUCUGAGAGGAUGACCAGCCAAACGGGAACUGAGACACGGUCCAGACUCCUACGGGAGGCAGCAGUGGGUAAUAUUGCACAAUGGGCGCAAGCCUGAUGCAGCCAUGCCGCGUGUAUGAAGAAGGCCUUCGGGUUGUAAAGUACUUUCAGCGGGGAGGCGUUACCCGCAGAAGAAGCACCGGCUAACUCCGUGCCAGCAGCCGCGGUAAUAC